AGUGAACGCUGGCGGUAGGCCUAACACACGCAAGUCGAACGGCAGCACAGGAGAGCUUGCUCUCUGGGUGGCGAGUGGCGGACGGGUGAGGAAUACAUCGGAAUCUACUUUUUCGUGGGGGAUAACGUAGGGAAACUUACGCUAAUACCGCAUACGACCUACGGGUGAAAGCAGGGGAUCUUCGGACCUUGCGCGAUUGAAUGAGCCGAUGUCGGAUUAGCUAGUUGGCGGGGUAAAGGCCCACCAAGGCGACGAUGCGUAGCUGGUCUGAGAGGAUGAUCAGCCACACUGGAACUGAGACACGGUCCAGACUCCUACGGGAGGCAGCAGUGGGGAAUAGUGGACAAUGGGCGCAAGCCUGAUCCAGCCAUACCGCGUGGGUGAAGAAGGCCUUCGGGUUGUAAAGCCCUUUUGUUGGGAAAGAAAUCCAGCUGGUUAAUACCCGGUUGGGAUGACGGUACCCAAAGAAUAAGCACCGGCUAACUUCGUGCCAGCCGCCGCGGUAA
rnacentral:rRNA from 1 species